rnacentral:rRNA from 1 species
AUUGAACGCUGGCGGCAUACCUUACACAUGCAAGUCGAACGGUAACAGGUCUUCGGAUGCUGACGAGUGGCGAACGGGUGAGUAAUACAUCGGAACGUGCCUAGUAGUGGGGGAUAACUACUCGAAAGAGUGGCUAAUACCGCAUGAGAUCUACGGAUGAAAGCAGGGGAUCGCAAGACCUUGUGCUACUAGAGCGGCCGAUGGCAGCUUAGGUAGUUGGUGGGAUAAAAGCUUACCAAGCCGACGAUCUGUAGCUGGUCUGAGAGGACGAUCAGCCAAACUGGGACUGAGAAACGGCCCAGACUCCUACGGGAGGCAGCAGUGGGGAAUUUUGGACAAUGGGCGCAAGCCUGAUCCAGCAAUGCCGCGUGCAGGAUGAAGGCCUUCGGGUUGUAAACUGCUUUUGUACGGAACGAAAAGCCCCGGGUUAAUACCCUGGGGUCAUGACGGUACCGUAAGAAUAAGCACCGGCUAACUACGUGCCAGCCGCCGCCGUAA